rnacentral:rRNA from 1 species
CACGGGGUUGCGAGCGUUGUCCGGAAUUACUAGGCGUAAAGGGCAGGCAGGCGGAUCCAUAAGUUUAUCGUUUAAGGCGUCGGCUUAACCGGCGUAGGGCGGUAGAUACUGUGGAUCUGGAAUGCGGUUGGGGAAGACAGAAUUCCUGGUGUAGCGGUGGAAUGCGCAGAGAUCAGGGGGAAUACCGAGGGCGAAGGCAGUCUUCCAAGCCGUUAUUGACGCUCAACUGCGAAGGUGUGGGUAUCAAACAGGAUUAGAUACCCUGGUAGUCCCUGAG